rnacentral:rRNA from 1 species
UGGGGAAUAUUGCACAAUGGGGGGAAACCCGUGAUGCAGCGACGCCGCGUGAGUGAAGAAGUAUUUCGGUAUGUAAAGCUCUAUCAGCAGGGAAGAAAAUGACGGUACCUGACUAAGAAGCCCCGGCUAACUACGUGCC